rnacentral:tRNA from 1 species
GGAGAAGUACUCAAGUCGGUCGAAGAGGCGCCCCUGCUAAGGGUGUAGGCCGUUAACGCGGCGCGAGAGUUCGAAUCUCUCCUUCUCCGCCA